rnacentral:rRNA from 1 species
CCUACGGGAGGCUGCAGUGGGGAAUAUUGGACAAUGGGCGAAAGCCUGAUCCAGCCAUGCCGCGUGUGUGAAGAAGGCCUUCGGGUUGUAAAGCACUUUCAGUGGGGAAGAAAGCCUUGGGGCUAAUACCCUCGAGGAAGGACAUCACCCACAGAAGAAGCACCGGCUAACUCCGUGCCAGCAGCCGCGGUAAUACGGAGGGUGCGAGCGUUAAUCGGAAUUACUGGGCGUAAAGCGCGCGUAGGCGGUCUGAUAAGCCGGUUGUGAAAGCCCCGGGCUCAACCUGGGAACGGCAUCCGGAACUGGCAGGCUAGAGUGCAGGAGAGGAAAGUAGAAUUCCCGGUGUAGCGGUGAAAUGCGUAGAGAUCGGGAGGAAUACCAGUGGCGAAGGCGGCCUUCUGGACUGACACUGACGCUGAGGUGCGAAAGCGUGGGUAGCAAACAGGAUUAGAUACCCCAGUAGUC